GAUGAACGCUGGCGGCGUGCUUAACACAUGCAAGUCGAACGGACAGGCCCAAGCUUGCUUGGGUACUCGAGUGGCGAACGGGUGAGUAAAACGUGGGUGAUCUGCCCUGCACUUCGGGAUAAGCCUGGGAAACUGGGUCUCAUACCGGAUAGGACCACUUCUUGGAUGUUGUGGUGGAAAGUAUUUUCGGUGUGGGAUGAGCUCGCGGCCUAUCAGCUUGUCGGUGGGGUGAUGGCAUACCAAGGCGUCGACGGGUAGCCGGCCAGAGAGGGUGUACGGCCACAUUGGGACUUAGAGGAGGCCCAGAUUCCUACGGUAGGCAGCAGUGGGGAAGAUUGCAGAAUGAGCGCAAGCCUGAUGCAGCGACGCCGCGGGGGGGAUGACUGUCUUCGGGUUGUAAAAUCCAUUCGCUAGUGACGAUGCGUUUUGUGACGGUACCUGGAGAAGAAGCACCGGCUAACUACGUG
rnacentral:rRNA from 1 species